CACUAACUGGAGGACCGAACCGACUAAUGUUGAAAAAUUAGCGGAUGACUUGUGGCUGGGGGUGAAAGGCCAAUCAAACCGGGAGAUAGCUGGUUCUCCCCGAAAGCUAUUUAGGUAGCGCCUCGUGAAUUCAUCUCCGGGGGUAGAGCACUGUUUCGGCAAGGGGGUCAUCCCGACUUACCAACCCGAUGCAAACUGCGAAUACCGGAGAAUGUUAUCACGGGAGACACACGGCGGGUGCUAACGUCCGUCGUGAAGAGGGAAACAACCCAGACCGCCAGCUAAGGUCCCAAAGUCAUGGUUAAGUGGGAAACGAUGUGGGAAGGCCCAGACAGCCAGGAUGUUGGCUUAGAAGCAGCCAUCAUUUAAAGAAAGCGUAAUAGCUCACUGGUCGAGUCGGCCUGCGCGGAAGAUGUAACGGGGCUAAACCAUGCACCGAAGCUGCGGCAGCGACACUAUGUGUUGUUGGGUAGGGGAGCGUUCUGUAAGCCUGUGAAGGUGUACUGUGAGGUAUGCUGGAGGUAUCAGAAGUGCGAAUGCUGACAUAAGUAACGAUAAAGCGGGUGAAAAGCCCGCUCGCCGGAAGACCAAGGGUUCCUGUCCAACGUUAAUCGGGGCAGGGUGAGUCGACCCCUAAGGCGAGGCCGAAAGGCGUAGUCGAUGGGAAACAGGUUAAUAUUCCUGUACUUGGUGUUACUGCGAAGGGGGGACGGAGAAGGCUAUGUUGGCCGGGCGACGGUUGUCCCGGUUUAAGCGUGUAGGCUGGUUUUCCAGGCAAAUCCGGAAAACUAAGGCUGAGGCGUGAUGACGAGGCACUACGGUGCUGAAGCAACAAAUGCCCUGCUUCCAGGAAAAGCCUCUAAGCAUCAGGUAACAUCAAAUCGUACCCCAAACCGACACAGGUGGUCAGGUAGAGAAUACCAAGGCGCUUGAGAGAACUCGGGUGAAGGAACUAGGCAAAAUGGUGCCGUAACUUCGGGAGAAGGCACGCUGAUAUGUAGGUGAAGUCCCUCGCGGAUGGAGCUGAAAUCAGUCGAAGAUACCAGCUGGCUGCAACUGUUUAUUAAAAACACAGCACUGUGCAAACACGAAAGUGGACGUAUACGGUGUGACGCCUGCCCGGUGCCGGAAGGUUAAUUGAUGGGGUCAGCGCAAGCGAAGCUCUUGAUCGAAGCCCCGGUAAACGGCGGCCGUAACUAUAACGGUCCUAAGGUAGCGAAAUUCCUUGUCGGGUAAGUUCCGACCUGCACGAAUGGCGUAAUGAUGGCCAGGCUGUCUCCACCCGAGACUCAGUGAAAUUGAACUCGCUGUGAAGAUGCAGUGUACCCGCGGCAAGACGGAAAGACCCCGUGAACCUUUACUAUAGCUUGACACUGAACAUUGAGCCUUGAUGUGUAGGAUAGGUGGGAGGCUUUGAAGUGUGGACGCCAGUCUGCAUGGAGCCGACCUUGAAAUACCACCCUUUAAUGUUUGAUGUUCUAACGUUGACCCGUAAUCCGGGUUGCGGACAGUGUCUGGUGGGUAGUUUGACUGGGGCGGUCUCCUCCUAAAGAGUAACGGAGGAGCACGAAGGUUGGCUAAUCCUGG
rnacentral:rRNA from 1 species